CAGCCGCGUAAUUCCAGCUCCAAUAGCGUAUAUUAAAGUUGUUGCAGUUAAAAAGCUCGUAGUUGAAUUUCGGGGUCUGUCCGUCGGUCGGGCUUCACGGUCCGUACUGGUGUGAUGGGUUCCUACCUUCUGAAUAACCGGCAUGCCAUUCAGUUGGUGCGCCGGGGAAGCAGAGCUAUUACCUUGAAAAAAUUAGAGUGCUUAAAGCAGGCUAGUGCUUGAAUAGAUUAGCAUGGAAUAAUAAAAUAGGACGGCAUGGUUCUAUUUUGUUGGUUUCUAGGAUCACCGUAAUGAUUAAUAGGGAUAGUUGGGGGCAUUAGUAUUCAAUUGUCAGAGGUGAAAUUCUUGGAUUUAUUGAAGACUAACUUCUGCGAAAGCAUUUGCCAAGGAUGUUUUCAUUAAUCAAGAACGAAAGUUAGGGGAUCGAAGACGAUCAGAUACCGUCGUAGUCUUAACCAUAAACUAUGCCGACUAGGGAUCGGACGAUGUUAAUUUUUUAAUGACUCGUUCGGCGCCUUACG
rnacentral:rRNA from 1 species